UACGUAGGGUGCGAGCGUUAAUCGGAAUUACUGGGCGUAAAGCGUGCGCAGGCGGUUUUGUAAGCCAGAUGUGAAAGCCCCGGGCUUAACCUGGGAAUGGCAUUUGGGACUGCAAGGCUAGAGUGCGGCAGAGGAGACUGGAAUUCCUGGUGUAGCAGUGAAAUGCGUAGAUAUGCGGAGGAACACCGAUGGCGAAGGCAAUCCCCUGGGCCUGCACUGACGCUCAUGCACGAAAGCGUGGGGAGCAAACAGG
rnacentral:rRNA from 1 species